rnacentral:rRNA from 1 species
CCUGCGGCGGCCUAUACAUGCAAGUCGAACGGUAACAGGCCCGGCAACGGGUGCUGACGAGUGGCGCACGGGUGCGUAACACGUAUGCAACCUACCCUUUACUGCGGGAUAACCCUGAGAAAUCGGGGCUAAUAUCGCAUGUGAAUAUAAAGAGGCAUCUUUUUAUAAUUAAAGAUUUAUUGGUAAAGGAUGGGCAUGCGCCCCAUUAGUUAGUUGGUAAGGUAACGGCUUACCAAGACAGUGAUGGGUAGGGGCUCUGAGAGGAUUGUCCCCCACACUGGUACUGAGACACGGACCAGACUCCUACGGGAGGCAGCAGUAAGGAAUAUUGGUCAAUGGGCGAGAGCCUGAACCAGCCAUGCCGCGUGCAGGAAGACGGCCCUAUGGGUUGUAAACUGCUUUUAUAUGGGACUAACCACGCCUACGUGUAGGCGUCUGCAUGUACCAUACGAAUAAGCAUCGGCUAACUCCGUGCCAGCAGCCGCGGUAAUACGGAGGAUGCGAGCGUUAUCCGGAUUUAUUGGGUUUAAAGGGUGCGUAGGCUGACAAGUAAGUCAGUGGUGAAAUUCCCCGGCUCAACCGGGGGUGUGCCAUUGAUACUGUUUGUCUGGGAGUGUAAUCGAAGUGGGCGGAAUGAGGAGUGUAGCGGUGAAAUGCAUAGAUAUUCCUCAAAACACCGAUAGCGAAAGGCAGCUCACUAGAAUACAACUGACGCCGAGGCACGAAAGCGUGGGUAGCAAACAGGAUUAGAUACCCUUGGGUAGUCCCGCCGUAA